AUGUAAAGAAGCCAUCUCAUUGAUGAAACAUUCUGCUGAUGAGGACACACUCAAGAAAAAGAUGAAACUGACAUUUGUCUAUCGCCGCAACAUGAUCCUUGACCCCCAGCAGUCAAGGGACAUCCUGUCUGACUUUCCGCGUUUUAAAGAUGGCAAAGGCUUGGUUGAACAGGAUUUCGUUCUGAUGUUUGGAGAGGAUACAUCAGACAAGCUUCUGGAGAAGUGGCCAACCACAUUUAAGAAAAAGAUCAUCAAACAAUGCAGAAAGCUUCCAUCCAUCGGAGCUUGAGGAACACCUUCUGGCAGCUGAUCCUUCUGAGGAUGGCACUGAAGUGGAUGUGGACUUUGAUAUACUGAUGUGUGUUAACAACAAAACUGUUACAGGUUGGGAC